GUUAAUUUGUAUAAGGAUGGUGUUCAGCACCAGGGACAGGUGUGUUUACCAGUGUGUGUAUGGUAUUCAGCACCAGGGACAUGUUGUUAAUCU
rnacentral:pre_miRNA from 1 species